UACGGGGGGGGCAAGCGUUGUUCGGAAUUACUGGGCGUAAAGGGCUUGUAGGUGGCCAACUAAGUCAGACGUGAAAUCCCUCGGCUUAACCGGGGAACUGCGUCUGAUACUGGAUGGCUUGAGUUCGGGAGAGGGAUGCGGAAUUCCAGGUGUAGCGGUGAAAUGCGUAGAUAUCAGGAGGAACACCGGUGGCGAAGGCGGCUCUCUGUACCACAACUGACGCUGAGGCGCGAAAGCUAGGGGAGCAAACAGG
rnacentral:rRNA from 1 species